ensembl:lncRNA
CUGAGAGUUUCAACAACUGCCUGUGCUGCUCAGGGACUGACUCAAUCCUAUGGAUAGGAGCUGUCAGGGUAACAGUUAAGAAGAAAGAAGUGUGAAUGGGAUGUAAAGAGGACAACAUUUCUAUUACUGCCUGAAGAAUAAUUUCUUCCAGUAAAUGCUACAGAGAGAUGACAUUUGAAGUUUGUACAUCCAGACUGAAGCAUUACAAGCUCAUAUCAGAUACUAUGGAAGUCCUGCCUCUUACUCUGUCUCAGUUUCAUAACUACUAUGGUUUUUCUUUGUUGGCAGUCUCAGACAACUCAUCUUCAAAUUUCCGGAAUGGCUGAUGCAGAAAUCAUGCAGAGAAGAGCCUGAUCCACCCAAAAAAACAACUGUGAUAUAUUUCUUGAGCUUCAAAGAAUGGAGGAGCCCUGUGGAAAAAUAAUAAUUGGAAAUAAUAGUAAACAAAUGUAUUGAUUACCCAAAUUUCCCUACUGAAUGAACUGUUGGAUAGUUUCUGUCUAUAUUGACUCCCUAAUAGCUAGAAAUGAAUUCAGUGUCAGCCAGGCUAGUUAGGUAAUUGAGGUCAGAAAAUGUAUACACAAGUGGUAAAGAUCAAUAACUUGCAUACAGCAUACAGAUAGUAAAGUUUAUACCUACAAUGGAAACAUAAAUACAUAUAAAUUCGAUGCCUAUAUGUAUACUACAUAUAUUUACAUAAGUGUACAUAUAUAUGUGUAACUGCAUAAACAUUCAUUUAUAUACAUCUAAAUAUUCCACCCAACCCAAUGUAUCAUAAAGAAAACUGCCAUAAAAUAAUUUUUGCUUCUAAAAGAAUAAUAUUUUGUAAGAUAUGUAAACUACAGUCAAGUCUGUAUUGAACUACUCAAGAAUUAUUUGGUUAAAGGGUAAAUACACCUUGUAACUCAUAAUGAAAAUCUUAAAGGUAGGGGUGGAGAUUAACACUGCAGGCUGUCUACAGAAUAUUAAUAAAAUUCAAUAUAUUUUCUAAAAGGUGUAAUUUAUAUUUUGUGGAAAUGAGUCUCUUUUCUAAUAAAGUUCUUCUGUCCUUCAUUCUGUUCAUAUAAUUUUUCUAUAAAUCAUCCUGUAGGAUUUUUUUCUAAAUAUUCAUCUCAGAUAGAACCUAUUUAAAUAAGCCCUCUUAGCAAGAUAUUUCUGAAUUAAAAUUACACCAUGAG